CACAUAUGAAAAUUAGGAUAUCUACCCAAUUUACUAGAUAUUUGUCACGAACUUUAUCCCAUAUAAAAGGGCAUCAGUUUUUCGGUUUUAGUAUGAACAAAAUUUUGAGCAUACAAAGAUGAAUGUUAUGAUCGUUGUGUUGGUUGCUUCCAUUGCAGCAUUGGCGUCUGCCAAAGAGGCAUGUCCUGUUAGGGGCUGUCAACUAGGGCUGUGUUUUAAUGGUCGAGUUAAUGACGAAAAUGGCUGUCCUACUUGCGACUGUUGUCCUGCAACGCAGAUUUGUAGUAAUUAUUGUCCCUUUGGUAGACAUAUAGGUUCCAACGGUUGUCGUACUUGUGAUUGUAAAGGAUUUGGUUCUGGACAGGUCGCGUGUCCUUUAAGACACUGUCAAUUAGAUUUAUGUCCAUUUGGUAGAGUUAAGGAUGAAAAUAACUGUACUACUUGCGAAUGUUGUGAAGAUUCGCAAUGUAGAAAUUAUUGUGAAAAUGGUAGAGAGAUUGGAUCUGACGGUUGUCCUUCUUGUCAGUGUAAAGAGUGUCCUCUAAGGGCAUGUCAAUUACAGUUAUGUCCACUCGGCCGAGUUAAGGAUGAAAACAACUGUUCUACUUGUGAAUGCUGUGAAGAGUCGCGAUGUAAAAAUAAUUGUCCAAAUGGUAGAGAGAUUGGAUCUAACGGUUGUCCUUCUUGUCAGUGUAAAGAUUAAAACACGCAACAAUGUUUUCUUUGAUUAUAAAAUUUGAUUAACUAAAUAAACUGCAUAUAUUGCUUUA